ensembl:snRNA U6 U6 spliceosomal RNA
GUUUGCUUCGGCAGCACAUAUACAAAAUUGGAAAGAUACAGAGAAGAUUAGCAUGACCCCUGCACAAGGAUAACACACACAUUUGUGUAUAUAAUUCUU